UGUGCCACCACACCCAGCUAAUUUUGUAUAUUUAGUAGAGAUGGGCUUUCUCCAUGUUGGUCGGGCUGGUCUCGAACUCCCGACCUCAGGUGAUCUGUCUGCCUCGGCCUCCCAAAGUGCUGGAAUUACAGGCAUGAGCUACCGCGCCUGACCCUAAUUAAUUUGAAUUUUAAAACUACAACAGUACAGAACACACCAAGCAGGCACAAAUGCCAAAAAGUCUACACAGGUGUAUCAUAUAUAAGGCACCAGAAAUCAAAGACAGAAAAUCUUGAAAGAAGCCAGAGGAAAAAAGAGACCUUACAUAUAGAGGAGCAACAAUAAGAAUUACAUCACACCUCUCUUCAGAAACCAUGGAAGCCAGGAGAGAGGAGAGUGAAGUAUUUAAAAAAUAUUGAAAGAACAAAAAACAGCCUAGAAUUCUAUAUCCAGAGAAAUUAUCCUUCAAAAGUGAAAGGGAAUUAAAGACUAUCUCAGAUAAAAAUGGAGGGAGUUUGUUGCCAGUAGACCUGCUUUCCAAGAAAUGUUGAAGAAAUUCUUCAGAGAGAAAGCAAAUAGGCCGGGCAUGGUGGCUCACGCCUGUAAUCCUAGCACUUUGGGAGGCCGAGGCAGGUGGAUUACCUGAGCUUAGGACUUUGAGACCAGCCUGGCCAACAUGAUGAAACCCCGUCUCUACUAAAAAUACAAAAAAUUAGCGGGGCAUGGUGGUAGCACACACGUGUAAUCCCAGCUACUCGGGAGGCUGAGGCAUGAGAAUCACUUGAACCUGGGAGGCAGAGGUUGCAGUGAACGGAGAUCGCACCACUGCACUCCAGCCUGGGCGACAGAGCGAGACUACAUCUCAAAAAAAAAAAAGAAGGCAAAUAAUGUGGCUCAGAAAUUCAGAUCUGCAUAAAGAAAGGAAGAGCAUUAGAGAAGGAAUAAAUGGAGGUAAAAAUGUUUUUAACCUUAAUUGAUCUAACAGCAGUUGGCCACAGAUAAUAACAACAACUUGUAUUUGGGCCAGGCAUGGUGGCUCACGCCUGUAAUCCCAGCACUUUGGGAGGCCAACGUGGGCGGAUCACAAGGUCAAGAGAUUGAGACCAUCCUGGCCCACAUGGCGAAACCCCACCUCUGCUAAAAAUACAAAAAAAUUAG
rnacentral:lncRNA from 1 species